GCGCCCGUAGUUCAACGGAUAGAGCACCAGCCUCCGAAGCUGGUAAUGCAGGUUCGAUUCCCGCCGGGCGCA
rnacentral:tRNA from 1 species